ensembl:lncRNA CLECL1P C-type lectin like 1, pseudogene
CAAGACAUUACUGCUAUGCUGAUCACCUUUUUGCUGUACCUUCAAAUGGCAUUUCUUCAAUGUGUGUACAUCUCUGAUGUCUCUGUGUAUCCAAAUUUCUUCUUGUAAGGACAUUAUCAGAUUGGAUUAGGGCCCACCGCAAUGGCCUCACUAAAUCCAAUCUUUUUUGACAUAUGCAUAUAGAAGUUCCUAGACUUCAGUGCUGAGGAGACAGAGGCUACAGGCAUCCAUAUGUCUGUCUCUGGGGUCUUCUUAGGAAGAGGCCUCUGAUGAAGAGAACAAAGCUCUUGUUUGAUAUCCCAGCUUGAGCAAGAGGAAUGGGACAAGUUCGUGGCAGCCACCAGCCGCCAGGAGAUGGCUGAAGUAGACAAUCAAUUUCCAGGUUAUUGGGAAAUUCAAGACCAAUCAAUAGAAUUAUCUGGAGAUAAACUCUCUGGGACAGUGUUCAUCAAGUUGCAGUGCCCUGUUUGAGUCCGAGUUAGUGUUAGUCGGAGAUACAGUGAAGUCUAAGGAGGAUGAGGAAGAGUGAUUGGUGAUAGCAGAUAAAAGAAAAAUGAAUCAGUGGGAUAAAUGGAGAUGACCAAGUUUGGCGAGAAGACAAUACUAUGAGAGAAGGUGUCCAGAGACAGAGUGAGACACAGAUAUAGGAACAGGAUCCUGGGCCUUCCUGCUCCAGGAAAAGCAUGGAAAAGGCAAGUUGUGAGGGCAGAAGACAGUCCCACAAGAACAUGAAAUUCAGUCAUGCAAAGGGCUGGGAAGGCAGAAACACAGUGGUGAGAGUGAGCCAGAAAGGAGAUGUGGGGAGCAAGGACUCAUGGCAGAGAAGGCCCUGGUAACCAAGAUAAGAAAGUCAACUGUGAAGGUGAACUAAGAACACAUGAUGGAUGAGUGGAAACCAGGGGCCAGAAAGUCUUUGAAGGCAGAAGAUACAAGGCAAUUUGUGGGCAGGAGGGAAAAAAGUAGUGAAAAUGUGCAGGCCAAUGUGAGAGGGGCCUGUGAUGGCAGAGAGGAGGCCAAUGAUGUGAGUAAAAGGAGCACUGCAGGAACCGGACCCAGUGUGACGUUAUGA